rnacentral:rRNA from 1 species
UCCUUAGAUGUUCUGGGCCGCACGCGCGCUACACUGACUGACUCAACGAGUGUACAACCUGCUUCGACAGAAGUGGGUAAUCUUUUGAAAUUCAGUCGUGAUGGGGCUAGAUUAUUGCAACUAUUAAUCUUCAACGAGGAAUGCCUAGUAAGCGCGAAUCAUCAGUUCGCGUUGAUUACGUCCCUGCCCUUUGUACACACCGCCCGUCGCUCCUACCGAUUGAAUGGUCCGGUGAAGCCUCCGGAUUGGCGCGCACCUCGGUGCCGCCGAGAAGUUGGCUAAACCUUACCAUUUAGAGGAAGGUGAANUCGUANCA